rnacentral:rRNA from 1 species
UACGAAGGGGACUAGCGUUGUUCGGAAUCACUGGGCGUAAAGCGCACGUAGGCGGAUGUGUCAGUCAGGGGUGAAAUCCCGGGGGCUCAACCUCGGAACUGCCUUUGAUACAGCACGUCUCGAGUCCGGAAGAGGUGGGUGGAAUUCCUAGUGUAGAGGUGAAAUUCGUAGAUAUUAGGAAGAACACCGGUGGCGAAGGCGGCCCACUGGAUCGGUACUGACGCUGAGGUGCGAAAGCGUGGGGGAGCAAACAGGG